AUUUCAACAACACUGGCAAUCCAGACCCAACACUUAACACAACCCUCUUACAGCAACUUAGGCAACUAUGCCCACAAGGUGGAAACGGCAGCGUUCUAACUAAUCUUGAUGUCACAACACCUGAUUUGUUUGACAACAAAUACUUCUUCAAUCUUCAAAUCAGCAAGGGCCUUCUGCAGAGUGAUCAAGAGUUGUUUUCGACUCCCGGUGCCGAUACCACUGCCAUUGUCAAUGUCUUUAGUAGCAACCAGGCUGCUUUCUUUAAAAGCUUUGUGAUUUCAAUGAUAAGAAUGGGGAAUUUGAAACCAUUGACAGGCAAUCAAGGGGAGAUUAGAUCGAACUGCAGGAGGGUCAACGGAAACAGUAAUAUAGAAACCAGAUCAUCGUCAGAGGGUGAUUUGAUCAGCUCUUUCUAAAUAAGCUAGUUUGCAGCACAUGUGAGAGAUAGAGUUUGUGGGUAACAAACUCGUGAAUUUACUCCUAUGUUUUGCCUGAAACAUGCUUUUUUAUUUUCAAUAAACUAAGGUUGUGUUUGUGUAUUCACAUCCUUGCUUUCUAUGUAUCAGAAAUCCUUGUCAUACAGUAUGUGUGUAUUUUUUUUCCUAUGUCAUCGGUACGCAUUGUCAUCUGAGUCACUUUCCAGUUUUUAGUGAUCCAUUUUAUCCUCCAGCUUUAAAAUAUUAACCGGAAAAAAACCUUAUUCUUACAUAUUUCUUUCUAUUUCUACUUUUUGUCAAAUAUCCGUAGUUUGACAAAAUAGUAGGGAAGAAUCUUUUAUUUUCAAAAAUACUCAUACAUAGCUUUUUUUAUGGGAUAACAAAACUUAUUUUUAGACAAAUUUUAAAAAUCCAUUUGACAAUUUUUGGGGUCUGUGUGUACCAAAAAAGAGCCUAUAUAAUUUCUAAAACCAAUAGAAUCUCCGUACUAUUUCACUAAACCAUUUCGCAAGGCAAACACUAACUGACAACUGCUGUAAGUUACAGCACUCACAAAAAUAUGCAUGAACAGUAAUAAAUGGUGGGUCCCAUGUAAUUUUUGUGUGUGCUGUAACUUACAGCUGGCUGUAAGUUAGGGGCUCCCAUUUCGCAAUUAUUAUGAUCCUUUUUCCCCAUAAAAGAAAGGGAAAUUUGUAACCUACCCCCAAAUAAAUUGACGUUUUGCACUCUGCACCCACUAAAAUUGACAUGUUGCACCGUGUCCCCAAUUCCGUUAGUUUUUAAGUUAUUUUAAACAGCUCCGUUUGAUUUUUUAUCUAAUGACAAAAAUGCCCCUUUAAGUUUGAUUACACAAAAACACCCCUUCUUCUUCUCCAUUUCUAACGAGCUUAUAUGUACAUUGUCACCAUUUUAUUUUUCUCCAAAAAAAUCUUAUCAGGUUAUAUAAAAUACACAGCUGCCAAAAAAAAUUUAACAAACAAAUACAAAGAAAUCUGAAGAUAAAGAAUAAUUAAUAAAAAAUAAACAAAUUAAAAAGACCACAACACAUUCAACGAUUACAAUUAAAUUCAGUCCCUUCCACAACCAUUUUCAUCACCACUGAUUCCUUAUCCGCCACCAUAUUCUUCAACCCAAUCAGAAAAAUUACCCAUGAAUCAUUAAUUGACGCAUUUGAUUUUGAUUACUUGAUUUAGGGUUUCAAAAUACAAGCCCCUAAAUCAUAAUUCAAAACAACCCAAAUAAUAACUAAUGAAACCCCAAAAUCCAUAAUACUAAGCCUUAAAGGAACUAAGCGGUGGCGGCCAAAGGAAGCAGCUGACGCUCCAGACUGGCGCGGUGGCAAUCGCGGUGGUUGAUGUUUUAUAAUAGAGCAAAAGAAGAAAAGAAAAUGGAGAAGAAGAAGAAGAGAAGUAAUGGAGAAGAAAAAGGAGAAGAAACAGUGAAGAAGAUGAAGAAAAAGAAAUGGAGAAGAAGAAGAAGAUAAGUAAUGGAAAAGAAAAAUGAGAAGAAACAGAGAAGAAGAUGACGAAAAAGAAAUGGAGAAGGAGAAGAAACAAAGAAGAAGAAGAAGAAAAAAUGGAGAAGACGGAGAAGAAAUAAAAAGAAAAAGGAAAGGACGAAAUAAAGAGAAGCAAAAAAUAAAAAGAGUUUCUAUUAAAAUUGAUUUAAGGCUUUAACUUCCGAUUUUAACCCUGUACCGUUAAACUUAAAACUUCGAGGUUGCUGCAAAGUUCUAAUCCUAAUCUGGUUUGUUUGGUUAUAAAUAAAGAGGCAUUUCUCUUUGUUUUCCAAGUCCUAAGACUAAUUAUUCUCUUAAUAGAGAAGUAGUAACUCUUAGACAAAAUGGCUUCACUUCGUUAUCUUCUUGCAGCAGCUCUUGUUGUUGCUUUUGUGCUUGAGGGAUCACCAUCUCAAGCUCAACUUUCUCCCUCUUUUUAUUCUUCCACAUGCCCUAAUGUAUUGAACAUUAUCGAGGAUGUGCUUAAGAAAGCUUUCUCGUCCGAUAUCCGCAUCGGUGCCAGCCUCAUCAGGCUUCAUUUCCAUGACUGUUUUGUUGAUGUAAGCAAUCUCUGCUCUCUCAUUUUUCAUCUUCUUUACGUUAUCAAGCUCUCUGUCUAUUUACUUAUUGAUAUAACAUAGUUUCAAGCAUGUCAAUGAACAGUAUCUUUAUAAUUUUUUGUGUCAUUAAACAAAAUAUAGAGUUUUCAUUAAGAGUUUGAAUAUAUCAUUUUAAUUUCAACAACUUCCAAAACCAUUUUCAUAUAUCUUUUUUUUUUUCUCUUUUUCUUUUCUCUUUACGACAAAUUUUUCCUCUCUAAUUCGAUGUACCGAGGACCAUGUAAUUCUUUGUUUAUAAAUAAAUUUUAAUAUGGGGUUUUCAUGUACUAGAAAUUUAAAUCUAGCAAAGAUUUGGUCCAAAACAGGAAUUCAAAUCCACCUCAUGGCCUCAUCCCUGCUCAGUGCUUUUAAUGAUCAUGGGUCCAAUAUUAAUGGUGUAUGGUUGAAAAAAAAUCACACUUGUUUUAUAUUCUUCCAACCGAAAAAUUUAAAUCAACAGGAAAUCCUAGUCUUAAAAACAUAUGUAAUAAUAAGACAAUUUAAAUAAGAAGAGUUUGCAUUAUUUAUUUAAUUUUUUUGAAUUCAUGUCCAUAAGAUAAGAAGGAAUCUAUCUACUUGUUAAAAUAACAAUAUAAUGGACUGUUAACAUAGCAAGUUGUUAACUAAUACUAUUUUUUCCGGGGUGUGAUGCAUCGAUUUUGCUGGACAGCACUAAAAACAUAGACAGCGAGAAAUUUGCUGCGCCAAAUAAUAAUUCGGCGAGGGGUUUCGAAGUUAUUGAUAACAUGAAAGCUGCCGUUGAAAAGGCAUGUCCAAGGGUUGUUUCCUGCGCUGAUAUUCUUACUAUUGCGGCUGAACGAUCCGUUGCUUUGGUAUGAAUUUCUUUUACCAACUCCUCUUCCUUAUUAAUAUUUUAUGCUUAGAAGUAAAUUAAUACUAGAAAAUAGAACCGUGCGUGGCUUUGAAAGACAAAAUUUAAUAUUAUUCUUUUUUCUUACUUUGUACUUGAUAAAACUGAUAAAAAAUAUGAAUUGAUUUUUUUUAAAGAUGAGGCGACCUUAUAAAACUAAUGUUAUUUAUGAAAAUUAAUUAUUUUUUUGUUAACUUUAAAAAUAUAUAUUAAUGUGUAUAGUGUAAGUGUAUAGACCUUAUAACUUUUGUAGUUGUUGGGAAAUUCUAAAUUAUAUUCAACUUGCUAAUCUGUUAGAACUUUUAUAUCUCUUUUUUUUUUCCAACCAACUCCAAAAAAUCUCAAUAUCACCCACACCACAUAAACUUCUGACCACAUCUAUAAUAUUAUGGAAAAAUAACAUAAACAUGUUAAAAGAUAAGGAUCAAUAAUUUCUAAUAUACACUUAAAGAUUAACAAACAUUAAUAAUUAAAAAAAUACCUGAGAGGAUUGUGUUAUCAUUCACACGUAUAUCAAUCAAAUUCGUAGAUAUGAAUUGGAAUCCAUUGAUUGGAAUCUUAACGGUUUCUUUUAUAACCAAUAAAAUAAUAUUAUACUGAUUUGAAAGUGAUUUGUACUCGCCUAUAGUUGAAACAACUUUCAAAUUCUUGACAUUGUAUAAAGAACCCUCACUUAACAUGUGCCUAAACAUUGUCACUAAAUUUUUCCUAAUUAUUGCAUGCAUUAGAUUUUCCUAAAAAAAAAAUGCUACAUUAAGUGUAAAAAAAUUGGAAAAAAAAUAGAGAAAACAAUGGGAGAAGGAAAUUUUAUACAACAUUUUCAUCAAUAAAAAUCAUGUUCACACUAAUCAAUUCUACAUUCUUCUUGGUAUUAACAUACUCCCACAUCCUACAAAGCCUAACACUUAUCAUCCAAUUAUCUUUAUCAUUUUUCAACUCAUGAAGAAAAGAGUGCUCCACGAAGCACACAAUACUAAAAAUUUAAAUAAGUCAAAAAAUAAAAACACAUGAAUAUUUCUAAAGAGGAUGUUGGUUAAAUAAUAAAAAAAAUCUCAAACAUAAUAAAUCUUAAAUACUUAAUGUUUAUAGAAUUUGAAGAAGUCAAAAGGCACCAAACAAAAGGUUGCAUAAUUAAAUAUGAGAUUAUGACAUUAAAAUUAAGCCCUAAAAUCAUUGGUGAAGGAAGAUGAAUGAACAUUCAUUCCUAUAUUAAUUAGUUGAUAUAUUUUAAGCCACUAAAGUUUAGUUGUUGGCUUAAUAAAAUAAAUGAAUGUUUCGAGACUUAUAAUUAAUUAUUAUUAACAGUAACAUAUUGUUGAAUUUAAAUAAAAAGAGGAAGAGACAUGUAAUCUUUUGUAAUCUAAUAAUUAUUUUUUAUUUUUAAUAUUUUGUAAUGUAAUUAUUUUUUAAUCUCAACCAAUAUAUUAGAUAAUGAAAAUAUAAAAAGAUAAGAAAUAACGAUGCCACAAAUAUUAAAUACUUAAUGUUUAUAAAGUUUGAAGAAGUCAAAAAACACUAAACAAAAAGUUGCAUAAUUAAAUAUAGGAUUAUGACAUUAAAAUUAGGCUCUAAUGACAUUGCUGAGAGAAGAUAAAGGAACAUUCCUUCCUAUAUUAAUUAAUUAAUGUAUUUUAAGCCAUUAAAGUUUAAUUGUUGGUAUAAUAAAAUAAAUGAAUGUUUCAAGACUUAUAAUUAAUUAUUAUUAAUGGUUACAUAUUGUUGAAUUUAAACAGAAAGAGGAAGAGACAUGUAAUCUUUUGUAAUCUAAUAAUUAUUUUCUAUUUUUAAUAUUUUGUAAUGUAAUUAUUUUUUUAAUUUCAACUAGUAUAUUAGAUAAUAGAGAAUAUAAGAAGAUGAGAAAUAGUGAUGUCACAUUACCUGUUGUAGUCUCAACUUUAUAUAUAUACUAGGAAAUAAAACCGCACUUCGCGCGGUUUUGAAAAAAAAAUUAAUAUUUUCUAAUUAAUUUUUCUUGUGAAUGCGUUGAAUAAUCUCUAAGUGCUAUACCCUUUUUCAUUGUACUUUUAACUGUUUUUCUUCAACAAAUAUUGGAUGUAUUCAUUGAAAAAGAAAAUUAAAACUUAGAUAAUAACCAAUAAGAUUAGUGAAGUCAAACUGUUAAUUAAUUCUUAUGAUAAAACAAUAACUAAAAAAAUGUAUAGUCAUAGUUUUCUUGAUUAUAUUCAACUUACUACUUUGUUAGAACUUUUAUAUCUCUUUUUCUCCAACCAGCUCCAACGAUCUCAUAUCACUCACACCACAUAAAAUUUCGACAACAUCUGUAAUAUUAUAGAAAAAUAACAUAAACAUGUCAAAACAUAAGGAUCAAUAAUUUCCAAUAUACACUUAAAGAUUAACAAACAUUAAUAAUUAAAAGAAAUACCUAAGAGGAUUGUGUUAUCAUUCACACGUAAAUCAAUCAAAUUCGGAGAUACAAAUUGAAAUCCAUUGAUCAGAAUCUUGACAGUUCCUCUACUAACCUCCUAAGCAAAGUUAUAACCAAGAAAAUAAUCUUAUACUAAUUUGAAAGUAGUUUGUAUCCGCUUGUAGUUGAAACAACUUUAAAAUUCUUGACACUGUACAAAGAACCCUUACUUAACAUAUGCCUAAACCUUGUCACUAAAUUUUUCCUAAUUGUUGCAUGCAUUAGAUUUUCCUAUAAAAAAAAGUUACAAUAAGUGUAAAAUAAUUGGGAAAAAAAAGGAAAAUAAUAGGAGAAUGAAUUUUUUAUACAAGCUUUUCAUCAAUAAAAAUUAUGUCCACACUAAUCAAUUCUCCAUUCUUCUUAGUAGUAACAGACUCCCACUUCCUACAAAGGCUAACCCUUAUCAUUCAACUAAAAAUUCAAAUAAAUCAACAAUAAAAACAAAAGAAUCUUUUCUAAAGAGGAUGUUGGUUAAAUAAUAAAAAAAAAACUUAAACAUAACAAAUCUUAAAUACUUAGUCUUUAGAGAGUUUGAAGAAGCUAAAAGUCACUAAAUAAAAGGUUGCAUAAUUAAAUAUAUGAUUAUGACAUUAAAAUUAGGUUCUAAUACUGGCAUUGUUGAUGGAAGAUGAAAGAGACUUCCUAUAUUAAUUAGUUGAUGUAAUUUAAGCCAUGAAAGUUUAAUUGCUGGCAUAAUAAAGGAAAUGAAUGUUUCAAGGCUUAUAAUUAAUUAUUUUAAUGGUUACAUAUUGUUGAAUAUAUUAGAUAAUAAAGAAUAUAAAAAGAUGAGGAAUAGUGAUACUACAUAAGCUCUUCUAGUCUUAACUAUAUAUAUAUAUAUAUAUAUAUAUAUAUAUAUGGGUAUCAAAAUAAGUGAACAGAAUAAUGGUAAAUCUUUGCAGUAUUAAUGUAAUUUUUAAUUAUUUUUUCAAUUAAUAACAACCCCUAUAAAUUAAACAUGUUUUUAUAUUAUUUUUCAAUUAAUUAAAUAACCCGUAAGUUCAACUUUACCCUUAGAAGAAUACAUUAAUUAAAUAAUUAUUCACAUAGAACAAUGUGCAAGAUCUGAGUCCACAUGUUUAGCCUUUGAUUUAAGUGAAGAGAUUCAUAGUUGGACCCAUCAUUAUUAAAUUGGGACGACGCAAUGGACUCCAUUAUUUAAAAGGUUCGGCUACAGUGCAACUGUGAUACUGUGCUACAGUUACAUUCAGCCGUUGGAUCCACUUAGAUGAGUGGAGUCUAUUAGAAUUUAAUGGCUGGAUGCAACAGUAGCACGGUACCAUAUUUGCACCACAAUUUUUCCCUUAUUUAAAAGGGGUGACUUAUUGACUAUGGUGCAUCAGCUACACUGUGUGGUACCAAAAUUGCUACACAUAUGUCAAUAUAGUGAUUAUUAAGGGAUAAAUUGUUACUGACAGUGAGACACUUUUUACUGCGCUGGUGCAUCGUAGCAAGUCCUUAGUUUUAAACUUAAAAGUUUUCUUCUUUUGUUAUACGACAAAGUUUUGAUUCAACGGCUAGCAAAUUAAAUAGUCCGCCCCAAACGCACAUCUCUUAAGAUUAUUGUUGAUUUUGAGUGAAUGGCUUUUGGUUACAGUCAGGGGGUCCGUCAUGGGCAGUUCCAUUGGGAAGAAGGGACAGCAGAACAGCAAACAGAGCUCUUGCAAAUCAGAAACUUCCAGGACCAUCUGAUACUCUUGAUGUGCUCAAAUCUAGUUUUAGAAAUGUUGGCUGCAAUGACAAUUUUGAUCUUGUUGCACUCUCCGGUAAUUAUUAAUUGCUUCUGCAUCCUUUUAAUUACUUGAGUAAAGUUAUGGGAGUAGACUUUUAAAAGUCAAAAGAGCAUGGUACUAGCAACGCACGCUCAAAAAUUAAUUUAAGAAAUGAGUGUUAUGCCUUAAAUUUAUGUAUACUUAACUCAAAAUUGGGCAUGCAUGUUUUUCAGGAGCUCACACGUUUGGUAGGGCUCAGUGCCGAUUUUUCAGGGGCAGAUUAUACGAUUUCAACAACACUGGCAAGCCAGACCCGACACUGGACAGAACCCUGUUAAAGCAACUGAGGGAACUAUGCCCACAAGGUGGAAACGGCGGCGUUCUUGCUAAUUUUGAUGUCAAAACACCUGAUGUUUUCGACAACAAAUACUUCUCCAAUCUUAGACUCCGCAAAGGCCUUCUGCAGAGUGAUCAAGAGUUGUUUUCGACUCCUGGUGCCGAUACCGCUGCCAUUGUCGAGGACUUUGGGAGGAACCAGAAUGCUUUCUUUAAAAACUUUGUGACCUCAAUGAUAAGAAUGGGCAAUUUGAAACCACUGCAGGAAAUCAAGGGGAGAUUAGAUUGAACUGCAGGAGGGUCAAUGGAAACAGUAAUAUUGCAACAAGAUAAUCAUCAUCGGAGGGUGAUUUGGUCAGCUCUUUCUAAUAAGCUAGCUUGCGGCAUAUGCGAGAGAGUUUUUGUGCUUAACAAACUCGAAUUUAAUCUUCGCUUUGUUUGAAACAUGUUAUGUAUUUUCAAAUAAAUUAACUACCAAACUUGAGUUUAAUCUAAUUUUCUUGUCUGAAACAUGUUAUGUAUUUUCAAAUAAAUUAAUUAAACUUGUGUUUUUGUGUUCACGUCCUGCUUCUAUACGCAUAAAAAAGCCUGGUACAGUAAAUUCUCUAUAUAGUCAUAUUGUUGAGACCGGAUAAAUUUAUUCUUAUAAAGAGGUUAUAACUCAAUAAAAGUAUAGUACAAAAAUUAUUGUCUUUACUUAAUUAUCACUAAUGCAAGUGAUAUAGGGGUAAAUUAUGUCAUGUAUUAAUAAAUUAAUAAUUAUUUAAUGUAACAUGACAUAUAUUUUUGAAAUAUUAUUAUUAUGUGAAAGUAAGUUUAUUAAGUUGGGACCUAUAAAAAAAUAUAACUUAUUACAAUGUGAAAUUUAUUUUUAAUUAUAACUGGUCGCAAGUUGGGGCCACGAUUUUUUAUUACUAUAAAGAAAUUAUUCAUAUACAAAGUAUUUCUAUUUGGAGGUUUUACUGUAUUAUUGUUUAUUAUUUGUUCUUUCAACAUCAUCAAUGUCACGUUUUAACCAAUAAAAAUUAUGCAUAUAUGUGGCUUGUGCCGUAGGCUUGCUGCUAAAAAUUAAUAUUAGAUCGGGCAGAAAAAUUUAUGAAUUUAAAUUUAUUUGUCGAAUGAUACUCUUGUUCUCUUAGAAAUUCUUUUAUCUCUCUUAUUAUUUUUUUUCGUUUCGUCCUUGAAAUUUAAUAAAAUCAGUUUUCUCUUGAACUUAAUUACGCUACUUUUAUCUUUUAUAAUCUAAGAGAACAUAGAUGAAUUUAUCUGUUAAGGAAUUUACCUUACAUCAGUUAAUUAAAAUAGUUACAAUUCUAAAAUUAAAUUUUUAUAUGAAUUACAAAACAAUCACUAGCUAUAGGCAUAAUAUGUAGAAGCCAUAGGGAAAAUGAUAUUUCGGUAAAUAAUAAUUAAAAUUCCGAAGGAUUUUGAUUUGUGGAAUCCACACGCUAAAAGAAUAAUAUUAAUCAGAGGCCAAGGCCCCGCUACCGCCACCAAACAAAGGCACCAUUUCAUGAAUUAUUAACUUUAAGUGGCUUAGAUUCAACCACUCGUGGGUGAGGAGAGUUUUAGUUUCAUUUCUGUAAAGACUAAAAAUAAAUAAAUAAAACGGCUGGGAGGACCGGUACGGCUUCAAAAUUUUGUGGUGAAACAUACGCUUUUACUAUAUCUUAGGGAAAACAUUAAUUAUGUAAUUAUUUCAUUAUAUCAUUUUACGUUUUCUGUUUUGCAUUUUACAUUUUCCUUUUCACCGAAAUAAAAAAUGGGUUCAUAAUUUGCAGCCACCAAAUAAGUUCACAUUUAAGACUAAACUAUUAAUUUUGAAAAAAUAGAUGUGCUUGUUUGUUUCUGGGGCGCCUAUAGAAGGCCCAAAACGUGUCUUGCUAAUUAAGUUGUGGAUCACCCCUUAUAAACCCAACAUCUCUCUUGUACUAUGCCGAUGUGAGAUUUGCUUAGGGUGUUAUAUACACCCCCUCUUGGGGACUCAGCGUCCUUACUGAGGUUUGCCCCACCAUCGCUCAAGAGGAAACAUGGAGCCGCUCUUAUACCAUAAUGUCAUAACCCAACCCAGACCUGAUAAGAUAUUAUCCGCUUUGGAUCUUAACAAGGCCCACAUGAGUUUGUUUUCUGGGGCGCCCAUACACCCCAAAAUGCGUAUUGCCAAUUAAGGUGUGGAUCACCUCUUAUAAACCCAACAUCUCUCCCGUGCUUUACCGAUGUAGGAUUUUCCUAGGGUGUUACAUACACCGCCUUGGGGACUCAGCGUCCUCGCUAAGGUUUGCCCCACCAUCGCUCAAGAGGACACGCAGAGCCGCUCUGAUACCAUAAUGUGAUGACUCAACCUAGACCUGACAAGAUAUUGUCCACUUUGGGCCUUAAUAAGGCCUGCACGAUUUUGUUUCUGGGGCACCCAUACACCCCAAAAUGCGUCUUACCAAUUAAGGUGUGGAUCACCUUUUAUAAUCCCAGUAUCUCUCCCAUGCUUUGCCGAUAUGGGAUUUGCCUAGAGUGUUACAUACACCCCCAUUGGGGACUCAGCGUCCUCACUGAGGUUUGCCCCACCAUUGCUUAAGAGGACAUGCAGAGCCGUUCUGAUACCAUAAUGUCAUGACCCAACCCAGACUUGGCAAGAUAUUGUCUGCGUUGGACCUUAACAAGCCCGCACAUGUUUGUUUCUACGGCGCCCAUACACCCCAAAACGCAUCUUGCCAAUUAACGUGUGGAUCAUCCUUUAUAAACCCAUUAUCUCUCAUGUGCUUUGCCGAUGUGGGAUUUGUCUAGGGUGUUACAGGUAAGAAGUUUGAACACAAGGUUACUUUUAGAACAUUGAAUGCAACAAUUAUUUCUGAAAGGUUUUAAAUGUUAUGGAUACAGAGGAAUUAAUUCGUAAGUGUAAAGUGAUAGCUAUCAAAGAGAAAGAAAAAAAUAGAGUAACUUUGGAAGUGAUAAUGAAAGAAAAAAGAGAGAAGCUUUUGGUUGGCUGGUUGAUGGGCAAGAUACUUCUUACGAGAGGAGUUCAUAAGGAGGGGUUGAAUAUGGCAUUACUGCAAGUUUAAAGGACAAUUAAAGAAGUUAUGAUAGAGAGCUUGGGUGCUCUUUAUGUUCAAGUUUGCAGAUGAAGCUGAUAAAAGAAGGGUGAUUGCAGGAGGCCUUUGGCACUUCGAUAGGGCCUUAAUUGUCCUUACAGAACCGAAAAGAAUUGGGGAGAUCACAAAACAGUCUUUCACUCAUGCAGAAUUCUGGGUGCAGAUUCGAAAUGUCUCGGUUGCUGUAUGGAAAGAUAUUUUCUCCAAGAAUUAGGGCGAGAAGAUUGAAAUAGUAGAGGAGGUUGAAACAGAAGAAUAUAGUGAAUAUAUUGGGGAAUUUGUAAGAAUUAUAAUUUCGAUCAAUAUGAAUAAGCCAUUAGAAAAGAUCUUACAAGAGGAUGAAGUAGAUAUUCCAAUGCAUGUAGAUUAUGAAUGAUUGCCUGACUUUUAUUUCUACUGUGGAGUUAUUGGCCAUUAAUUCAAGGAGUGUGCUAAGUAUCAGGGCCAACGAAAAGAGGAACUUCCAUAUGAGAUGUGGAUUAAGGUAGUUACAGUGGGAGGACGCUCAAGGAAGCACCAUAUCAAGGAGAAAUGGAAUAGGGAUAAUGGCAAAUCAGUGAGUAAUGCGGCAAACUCAAAACACCACGACUGCUCACAACAACCUCAGCAGAGUCAAAGUAACCCGAUUGACAAAACCAAAUCAAGACUCGAUCAGGAAGAAAUGGGUCAAAAUUAUGAAUUAGCUAUAGGUGAUGAGGUGGAACGAGUAUGUGAGAAACAUUUAAUGAAUGGUGUAUUGGAAAUAACAAUGGCACAACAAGCAGGCGGCAAAACGCAGCAUGAGAUAGAGGGAAACGCAAGAGGACCUGGAAAUAUGGGAAUUCAGGCGAGAAAUAAAAAUGUUAAAAACAAGCGAGAAAUUUUGGAGGUAACACCAAUUAAAGUUUAUAAGGAGAUACUGUGCUAAGAAGGCGCGAAUGAAGCAAAGACAGGAAAUUAGUCUCGAAGAGCUCCAAUGAGGCCCAAUAGAAGGAAAUGGAAAUUACAAGUUCGAAACACAAACUCCAAUGGUGGAAACAAAUAUGGGUUAGGGGCGUUAAAAAGGCCAAGUUGUGAGCUAACUGAGCCAAGUUCAAAACAAAAGAAGAUGAAAGUGACUAGCCUACCCAAAUUAGAAACAAAGCAAUAUCAGCUAAAUUCACCAGUGGCAAAACUCAAUUUGAGCUGGGAACUGUUGGCAAUUAAGGGAAUAGAAAUUGCAGACUCAAACAUAGAAGAGAUAUCGGUGGAGGCUGGCGAUCAAGAAUGCUAGAAGCCAUGAAAAUCCUCAGCUGGAAUGUUUAGGGUUUAGGGAAUUCCCGGAUGUUCCUAGCAAUGCAACAAAUUCUCCAAAUUCAUAGACCUCAACUUGUGUUUUUGAGUGAGACAAAGUUGCAAUCUAUGCAAAUGGAUACGAUUCGUAGUAAGCUAAAUUUUGAUAGCUGUUUUGCUGUGGAUAGUAGUGGAAGGGGAAGAGGUCUUGCAAUGCUUUGGAACUUUGAAAUUUGUGUGCAUAUUAAGUCAUUUAGCAAGCACCACAUUGAUGCUGAACAACAAAUGGGCAAUGAAAAGCAAAUGCGAUGUACAGAGGUGUAUGGACAUCCGGAGAUGCAGCAAAAAAAGCACACAUGGACAUUGUUGAGACGGCUAUUAGGUUUAUCUUCCACACCUUAGUUAUGUUUCGGUGAUUUUAAUGAAAUUUUACACCUAUAUAAGAUGAAUGGUGGCAAUGAUAGAAAUCCAAACCAAAUUAGUGACUUCAGAAAAGCCUUGAGAGAUUGGAAUCUAAAGGAUGUGGGCUACAUGAGAUAUCUAUUUACAUAGGAUAAUGUAAUAUUUGGCCCUGACUUUGUGGAAGAAAGAUUAGACAGAUUUUUAUGCAAUGAGGCUUGAAGUGAGAGAUUUAUUGAAUAUGUAGCUGCUAAUCUCGAGAGUUGGAUAUUCGAUCACAACCCAGUGUUGAUGGAUGUUCAGGAUAGAGGUAAUGACUUGAAUUAUCAAAGAAGGAGAACUUCACGAAUCCAUUAUUAAGAUAUGUGGAGUUCAUAUGACACCUGUAAAAGUAUAAUUGAAGAAGAAUGGCAUAAACAUGGAUGCUGGAACAUUGAUGAUCCCAUACAUUUAUCCCAGAAGGCGACUAAAGAUUCCAUGGCUACUUUGACUUUGUGUAGUAAGGAAGAAUUUAAAGGGAGAGAAAAUAAACUGAAGAAGUUGAAAAAACAGUUGUAGAGCUUAAAGGAAAAAAAGGUGCAGUAUGAAUUUGAGGAUGAAAUUAAAUGGGUGGAGAGACAUAUUCAUAACAUAUUGGCCGAUGAAGAGAUUUUCUGGAAACAGCAAUCGAGAGCGGAUCGGCUUAAAGAGGGGGAUAAGAACACUAAGUUUCUCCAUCAUAAAGCCUUAUCGCGGAAGAAAAAGAAUAGAAUAUGGGGAAUUGAAGAUGAAACAAGAAGAUGGAUUGAGAAUGUGGAAGAAAUGGAGUAUGAGUUUUGCACUUAUUUCACAAAUCUGUUCACCACAUCCAGACCGAGCUAGAACCAAAUAGCAGCAGCUCUUUCAAGGAUAACACUAAGGCUCUCAAAUGACAUGAACGAGAAAUUGGACAAGCCUUUCUCAACAGAGGCAGUUGUUGAAGCCUUAGCACAGAUGUGUCCAACAAAGACUCUAGGGCCUGAUGGGUUGCUAGCAGUCUUUUAUAAAAAAACAUUGGAAAACGAUUAAAUCCGGAGUUAUCACUACUUGAUGUGCCAAGCAUAUAUCUUAAGUGUUCAAAAGUUACUGUAGAUUGUUGGGCACCUGCCUUUAAGCUUUCACUAAUAUUAAGUCAAAUUGGCAGUUCAGUAUGAUCCACAGCAUAUAUAUUUGACCUAAAUGUCUCCUGCUCGAAUAUUUUCGAAUACAAAUUAAAUAUAAUUUGCACAUAAUUGUAUGAGUUGUUUGGAUUUAAUUCACGUGACAUAUCUAAAGAAGACUUGUGAAAAAGAAUGAAUGAUAUACCAAACUCAAAAAUGAUUUUUUAGUUUAAUUCAUGAGUCAAGACUAACAUAUUAUAGUUUCAUUUUUAUUCUUUUUUGGAUCAAGUACUUAUAUAUUCUCAGUUCAAGCAGCUUUAAUCUUGCAUUGCACGGCUAAAAGUAUAGUAUACUGUACACUAGUUUAUGAAUAAAUAAAAUGUAUGUAUCAUUAAUUUUACUAUCAUUUUUUCCGUAAAUUAUUCAUCAUUUGGUAAUUAUAAUUAUCAUAAACUUGAUCUCCUUCUUUGUUAUAGGGUUGUGAUGCAUCAGUGUUAUUGGAUGGAAGUGACAGUGAGAAGUUUGCCGCGCCUAACCGGAACUCAGCACGAGGAUUUGAAGUUAUUGACGCAAUAAAAACUGCCGUGGAAGGUCAAUGCAGUGGAGUUGUAUCAUGUGCUGAUAUUUUAGCCAUAGCUGCAAGAGAUUCAGUGCUCUUGGUAAGUUGGUUGAUUAAUUGUUCUUCUCAUAUAGAUUCCAUGGGACUAAAAGAAAUAGAGACGUGAGAAACUUGAGACCUUGUUUGAUAUUGGGAUUUCAUAUUUUUUAAGCCACAGCUACUAUAGAAAAAAGUAGCAACUAUAGAAUAAAGGUUGAUAAUGUAUAGUAAAUAUAGUUUUCAAUAAUAAUUUUGACAAAAACAAUAGAGAUAUUAUAAAAUUUUCAUCAUAAUAAUUUGAGACAAAAUUAUCUUAAUUUUAAAGUCACUAGAACAAUUGUUUACCAAAUACUUUAGUAUUGUGUCUUAAAAGAUAGAACUGUUGAACUAAAUUAUCAAGCAGGGACUAAGUCAUCUUAGUUCACAGGAUUCUACCAAUUAAUAGAUAAAGAUUUUUUUUUUUCAUAUUCUAAUGGUAUGAGAAAAUUAAAAUUUUCUCUUUAUAUUUGAACUUUAUGAGGUUAACUUUUACUUAUACAAAUACUAUGACAAUAUUUUGCAGAGUGGAGGACCUACAUGGAAAGUUCUGCUGGGAAGAAGAGAUGGACUGGUGGCAAACCAGACAGGUGCUAAUGCUCUUCCUUCACCGUUUGAGGGGCUAAACAUUCUCACUGCCAAGUUUGCAGCCGUGGGUCUAAAUAUUAAAGACCUAGUGUCCUUGUCAGGUAAUUUAUUUGACCUCUCUAUCACCAUAUAUUUGUAUCAACUCAUAACUAAUUAGCCUUCGUUCGGGAUCACUUUAAAUCGUAAAGUAAUGACAUUCUAUAUAAAUUUGGCUCCUCUACUAGUUUAACUUAUUUAAAAUUAUUAAAAUAAGAAAAUUAUCAUUUAUCUAUCCGAAAUUUUCUCAAUGUUUGAAAAAUAUCCCAAAAGUUUGCAUUAGGAAUCCCAGGACCCCUUUUUGAACUCCCAUAAUGUGCGAGCUUGGUAAUUUUAAUGUUUAUGUGCAGGUGCUCAUACAAUUGGAUUCGCAAAAUGUGCCUUCUUCAGCAAUAGACUAUCCAACUUCUCAGGAACAGGUGCUCCAGACGCUACAAUGGACACAAGCUUGGUGUCCGAAUUGCAGAGCCUAUGUGCGAACGGGGACGGAAACAAUACGACGCCGCUUGAUCGGAACUCGAUUGAUCUAUUUGACAACCAUUACUUCCAGAACUUGAUCAACAAUAAGGGCCUUCUUAGUUCUGAUCAAAUUCUAUACUCUAGUGAUGAGGCCAAAUCAACUACUGAGAGUCUUGUUGAAAGCUAUAGCAGCAACUCAAAUCUUUUCUUUGCUAAUUUUGUUAAUUCUAUGAUCAAAAUGGGGAAUGUAAGUCCACUCACUGGGACUAAUGGUGAGAUUAGGAAGAACUGCAGGGCAGUUAAUUCCUUAACUGAGAUAUGAUUUUAUGCAAGAAUAUACUCAACUUUGCCAUGGUGAAGUUACUGUAUAUCUAAUGUCUGUGUAUUUGUAUGUGAGUGCGUGUGUUUUCUUUCUUUUUUUUCUUUUUCUUUUUUUGGGUGUUCGUUAUGCUGGUAAUAUGUAGUCUACUAUGAAUAAGGUUGUGAUCUCAAUAACAUUUUUUGUCUUUUAAAUUUUUAAUAAAAUUAUUCUCCUACUUUUUCUGUCUAUGAUUGUUCGACACUUUUUUUUAAUUGAUUCAUCUUUAAUUAAAUUAUAAUUCCUUUAGAGUGAAACAUAUUUAACAAAUUUGAAUUCUUGUCAUAUUUACCUUUUAUCCAAUCGAAUUAUAAUGCACGUGUUGAAUGAAUUCCAAGAAAUAUACGUGUGGCAUCUCUUUCUCCUGUUUUUUUUUUUUUGGUUUUGACCACGAGGUAUCUUGGGGAGGGCCCCAACUGUGAGAGGCAUUUUUAAGCCCGUACCACAACCCAGACUAGAAGUCCCCGCUCGAAUCGAGAGGCACAGGUUCUCCCAACAAAGGUGACUUCCCUGCGACUCGAACUGGGGAGCAAACCCAGUCAAUUCUCCUGUUUUUUUUUCCCAAAGCGAAAUAACUUCUUUCAUAAGUUUUUCCUUGUUUUUCUCCUUUUCGUUUUUUUGUUUUUGUUUUUUUUGUUUUUUAACCUCUUUAGGGUACAUUGAAAGAGCAUAAAUUAUGAUUUGGGUGCAAAGAAAUUUAAUUUUCUUUGUUAAAAAAAUAAUAAUAAAAAAGUCAAAUAGCUGAUAACGUCAGAAUUCAAAGUAACACUCACGGAAACAAUCUUGCUAAAUCAAAUAUGGCAUUUUGCAUUGCUUUAGCUAAGGUCUUUCAAUCAUUCUUAAAGCAGACAAUCAAGGCAAAUCAACAGAGUCCUCAAACGGCUAGUUCAUUGAGGAAAUCAUGGAGAUAAAUUGCAAAUGAAAGAUUACCCAAUUAGUCCCUUCUUUUUUUCCAGAAUAAUUCAUGUUAUUUUAAUUUUCUUUUCAAUGAUCACUCUCUUGUAUAUAUAAAGGAAGUAUUGUAUAAAUGAUCAAACUAAGAAAUCUUCUCUUCAAACACUCACUCUUCAAAGCUUUUAUAUAAUCUUGUCACAAAUCAUGUGGAGCCUGCCAAAUCAUUUCCUCACCCUCAACUUCUCCCUCCUUUCUCAGCUUCCUCUUACGAACCGAACUUGCUUUGGCUCUCACUGUCGGAAAAGCAAAUGAUUCUUUAUUUUAUUAGAUCUUCUAAUUUGCUUUCGUUUAAGGACAAAUUUCUCUCGAUCGGUUUAGAUAUGUGGUGGUUGUUAUUAUUUUUUUCAAAGUUUUAUUUUUAUUUAAGUAUUUAGAAAUCUAUAGGCACCUGUUGAUUUUUUUUCCCCCAAGAAGCUCUAGUAUGUAUAAUAUGUAUGAUAUCAAAUGGCAAAACCUACUAUGAUGACCUAUUAUUACGAUGCAAGGCGUCUUAAAUAAGCUGAAGAAGAUCCUCUCAUAAUGAAGCAUUUGCACAUUUGAUAGAGGUGUCAUUUAAUUGAGAGAAUAUUCAAGACAGGAUAAAUCAAAAUUUUUGGGCUACUAUUAUGAUUGCUAAGCCUUGGCAAUCUUCAGUUUUAGAUUUUCUUUCAAUGAUUUACCUAACUCUUAUACGAGUGGACUCACACUAUAUUACUAGACAAUUUAGUUGUGCUAAAUUAGAUUGGAUGUGUACAAAUUGAGGACAAAAAUAUGGCAAAAGGGCUAAUAAACAAAUCAUUUACUUCAAUUAAUUUUAUUGUAUAUAUUAAUAUACAUAUGUCAUUAUUCAGAUCCCAAUUUUGUACAUUUGUCCUUUGUCAUUGCUUCUUGUCUGAUACAAGGCAUGAGGUCCACCUAAAAUUCACAGGGGCUUGCUUCCGUACUUCUCGUACUAUUGUGUCAAACGAUUUCUCUAACGGCAAGUAUAAUCAUUGUUCUCGACUUUCUUUUUCGUAAUUUUAAACGAUUUCAAUAAUAAUGCUUAAAGCACGCAUCUCAUUAAAUUGGAAUCAAUAAGCCAACACUUUUGACUUUAGUGAAAGAGAUUCCAUAAAGGACAAGAGAAGUGCUAUGUCUGAAGAAAGGAAUUGAUGUUCAAUAUGAAUUUAUUCGAAUCUCUCUCUCUCUCUCGCUCUCACUCCAUAUGUAUAUAUAUAUAUAUAUAUAAACCAAUUUAUACAGUGGACUAGAUCGAUCAUAUAUAUCAUUGUGUUUGUUCAUCCACAACUAAUACAGAGGUCACACAGAAAGCGAUGUGAGUAUUCAAUUUUUUUGUCUUAACUUUUGUGUUAAUUAUCUAAUUAAUUUAUACACACAUUACGUUGAUAUAUUUUUUGUGUUCUUGAAGGAUUACUCCUUAUCCAUUCAUUAUAAAUAUAUGUGUAUCAAUAUUAUCAAAAUUUCUUGAAACAUACACUUGGCAAGGAGCGGAUAGAAAAUGAGCUGAGCACCCAACUAAAAUUUUUCCAAGCGAGUGUUGUUUAUUUCAUUAUUCUUCUUUUAGCAACCGAUUGAAUAUAUGCGGAUGAUAGGGAGCAAGCUCAAGAGCAUGUAUCAAUUGAAGUGGAGAAAUUAGCAGAUUCUUUCAGUAGGGAACUGAAGCCAUUGCAUCCCUUAUCCGGAAAGUGUUCCAUCUACAGAGUUCCUGAGACACGCGGCGUCUACAUCCAAGUGAUUACACUAAAAAAUGAUCUCAAUUGGCCCGUUUCAUCAUGGAAAGGAACAGCUAAAAGCCAUGGAAGAGCACAAAAAAGGAUACCUAACAUACUUUCUUCAACAACUAAGGUACGCAUGGCAAGUUUCUUUGCAUUUAUUAAGGAAAGGGAAGCAAAAUUGCGCAAUUCUUAUGCAGAAACCAUUCCUCUUAAUUGCAAUGAGUUGGCAAAAAUGGUUUUAGUGGAUGCUGUCUUUCUCAUUGAGCUCUUUCUUAGAUAUUUUGAACCUUAUUUGAGAACUGACGAUGAUCGCAUAAUUGGAAAAUCGAAUUUGUACUUGGAAAUACGGCACGACUCUCUGCUGCUACAAAAUCGGCUUCCACCAUUCAUUCUCAAUGACCUCAAUGACUUGUUUAAUGUUAGCCAAAACAGCAACCAAUCAAAAUGACUUUGUUGAGAAGUGAACCACAAAUCUGGAAUUGUGGUUAAAUAUGACAUGUCAAUCUUGUGUUCCAAGAUUGGAAGAUAUGUCGGUUGAGUAGCAAAAGGGAGACUUAUGACAAGCCUGGUAGAUCAGCCAAGUGAAUAAGUUAAGCACAUGUUGAGGCACAUGACUUCACGUAUUCUAAACGGCAAAGAAAGGUUGCGUUUUGGAUGAAGCUGCAACACGUGUUUUUUAGGCUGGUUUAAACAACUGUUAGUGCCAACCAAAGUUGGUUGGUGUGAGUGGUCUGUCACUCUCACUUCUUAAGAAAGGUCAGGGGUUCAAACCCCGCUCUCGUAUGAAGUCACCAUUUUGGCUAGUAUUUUACUCCUUACAAGCUAAUCCAGUGCGAGCGGAGAUUAAUCUGGAUUGUGGUACUAGCUUAAAGAUGCCUCCUACAGUUGGGCUCACUCAAAACCACCUCGUAGUUCAGACAAAAAAGAAAAAACAACUGUUAAUGCCAUUAAUAGAAGCGGGAAAAUUCUGGGUUUGUUACUAACAAACCCAGGGAUGUAACACUGGCUUCUGGGGGUUGUUUCUAGAGCAAUCUAGGCGUGUAUAUAAGGCUUCAUGGUCUCGGUUUUGGCUAGCCUUAGUGUAUGACAGUUUCUCAGAUUGCUUGUAUCUUGAAAACACCAAAUCAGUGAAAGUUCUUUCUCUCUUUUACAGUGGAUGUAGGUCACCUGGUGGCUGAACCAUUAUAACUCUUCUGUGUUCGUGUGUGAUUGUUUUUGCUCUUCUUUAAGCUUGCUAUCUGUUGAUUCGAAUCUGUGGUUUCAUAAAGUUUUAGUAGAUCAUAGUUGGUUCUUUGAUUAAAGCUAAUUCGAGUGGAUCUUGGGGGAUCAAGAUCGGUUAUUUGCUGAUCUUGGUCCAACAGACUUGUACAGAAAAAUUCCCUUUAUUGCAAUUACCUGUUAUUGGUUCCGUGCAGAUAUGCUUCAAUUUCUUCCAAUACAGGAGAACUUGUUAGAAAUCCACUUUUUCAGAGCACAGCAUUUUGUUGACUUGCUUAUACUCUGUCUUCCGCCAUCCCAGCCGCGUGCCAUAAUUGAAUUGAAAGAUCAAAAGAUACCCAGUGUAAAGUAACUUCACCAAGCCGGAGUCAAGUUUCAAACGGAGUCAAGCAAAAAUCUACUUGACAUUAAAUUUAAUCAAGGAAUUCUGGAAAUUCUAUCUCUAACGGUAUAUUUUCAUGACACAAAGCCUUUCUACAGGAAUCUUAUAGCUUUUGAGAGGAUGCAUGGCUACCCUUUAUAUUUUAAUGACUGCAUUAUAGUGAGGUGUUACCUCGUCAGCACUCCAAACGAUACGGAAUUACUCAUUCAAAAUGAAAUUAUUAGGCUUGGGUACAGUGAACUACUUCCAACUAUUCUUAGCAGCCUUUGUAAAGGCUGUUCAGGAAGUGGUUUAUAUACAUACAUACAUGUAUGUAAUAAUAUAUGUGUGUGUGUAUAUAUGUAUGUAUGUAUGUAUGUAUAUAUGUAUGUGUGUAUGUAUGUGCGCGCGCGUGUGUAUGUAUUUGCUUAUGGACUUACACUCAUUGAAUUCAACGUAACAGGUAAUAGGGAAGUUGAGGAGAUGAAUAUCGAUGCAUUGAAUAAUCUUUGACAGUACAAUUAGUACGUACGUGGUUAGGUUCUAACUACAAAUACAAUAACCAGCCUUAACGUUUUCUUCAAAAUCCGGGAGGCCUCGACAUCAUCAGCUGCUGCAAUGGUUGCAUGCGGGAAGCCAAAAUCUCAGUUGUAGUCGCGUGACCAGUUUUAUAAAUCAUGGAGGUUGCCGAUUUGGCAGAGUUGAUGAUCAUGUGAUCAUUGUUAGUUCUUUGCAUCUCACAUUUGAAGCACGAACAUAAUUGCCCAUCAUUCGGUACCUCAGAAUAUGUCAAAGAACGUCCUUGCAUUGUGACUGUGGCAGUAGGGAACGCAACGGCUUCAAAAUUAUUGCAAAGAAGAGGCACCGAUCGAGGAACAAAAUGGCAACUCCGGAAGAAAGGAUGUUCCAAAGCUUCCGCAGCCGUAGGCCUCAUGUGUGGAUUCCAGGAACAAAGCCGUGAAAUCAAGCUGAUGGAUUCUCGACUAGCUGAUGGUGACAACUCACGCAGAUUCACACCACCCAUCUGCGGGAACUUCCAGUCGAGAUUGCUCGCGAGUUGAAUUCCAAGAGGCCAAGAAUCCUCGGUGGGGCUACCAAUCACUUGGCUGAAUUGAAAGAUCAAAAGAUACCCAGUGUAAAGUAACUUCACCAAGCCGGAGUCAAGUUUCAAACGGAGUCAAGCAAAAAUCUACUUGACAUUAAAUUUAAUCAAGGAAUUCUGGAAAUUCUAUCUCUAACGGUAUAUUUUCAUAAGACAAAGCCUUUCUACAGGAAUCUUAUAGCUUUUGAGAGGAUGCAUGGCUACCCUUUAUAUUUUAAUGACUGCAUUAUAGUGAGGUGUUACCUCAUCAGCACUCCAAACGAUACGGAAUUACUCAUUCAAAAUGAAAUUAUUAGCUUGGGUACAGUGAACUACUUCCAACUAUUCUUAGCAGCCUUUGUAAAGGCUGUUCAGGUAGUGGUUUAUAUACAUACAUACAUGUAUGUAAUAAUAUAUGUGUGUGUGUGUGUGUGUGUGUAUGUAUGUAUGUAUGUAUGUAUAUAUAUAUGUGUGUGUGUGUAUUUAUGUGUGUAUGUAUGCGCGCGCGCGCGUGUAUGUAUUUGCUUAUGGACUUACACUCAUUGAAUUCAACGUAACAGGUAAUAGGGAAGUUGAGGAGAUGAAUAUCGAUGCAUUGAAUAAUCUUUGACAGUACAAUUAGUACGUACGUGGUUAGGUUCUAACUACAAAUACAAUAACCAGCCUUAACGUUUUCUUCAAAAUCCGGGAGGCCUCGACAUCAUCAGCUGCUGCAAUGGUUGCAUGCGGGAAGCCAAAAUCUCAGUUGUAGUCGCGUGACCAGUUUUAUAAAUCAUGGAGGUUGCCGAUUUGGCAGAGUUGAUGAUCCAUUGAUCAUUGUUAGUUCUUUGCAUCUCACAUUUGAAGCACGGACAUAAUUGCCCAUCAUUCGGUACCUCAGAAUAUGUCAAAGAACGUCCUUGCAUUGUGACUGUGGCAGUAGGGAACGCAACGGCUUCAAAAUUAUUGCAAAGAAGAGGCACCGAUCGAGGAACAAAAUGGCAACUCCGGAAGAAAGGAUGUUCCAAAGCUUCCGCAGCCGUAGGCCUCAUGUGUGGAUUCCAGGAACAAAGCCGUGAAAUCAAGCUGAUGGAUUCUCGACUAGCUGAUGGUGACAACUCACGCAGAUUCACACCACCCAUCUGCGGGAACUUCCAGUCGAGAUUGCUCGCGAGUUGAAUUCCAAGAGGCCAAGAAUCCUCGGUGGGGCUACCAAUCACUUGGCAGAUUUUGUAAAUUUGAUCAGCUGAAUUUUUUCCCGGAAAAAGAAUCCUGAAACUCAACAUCUCGAACAUAAUAGCACCCAUCGCCCACAUAUCCACUUCAGGUCCAUAUAUCUCGGAUAAAAGUAACACUUCAGGAGCUCGAUACCAGCGAGUUGUAACAUAAUCAGUGCACGGCAGACUGGAAUCAAUUUCCUUCACCAUUCCAAGAUCCCCUAUCUUGAUCACACCUUUCGAAACAAGCAAGUUGGAAGGCUUUAGGUCACGGUGAAAAUAACCCUGUCGGUGCAUGUAAUGGAGACCUUGAAACACUUGGAAACACAAGUUUCUGACUUCAUCUUCAGAGAAAUUUUGACCCGCUCUUUCUUUCAUAAGUUUUAGAAGAUCAGAUUCCAUGUACUCGAACACAAUGAAUACGUCUUCGUGUUCUUUGACAAGAUUCCUCAAUUUGACAAUGUUGGGAUGAUUAUUCAUCUUCCUUAAACAUUUAACUUCUUUCAAGUUCCUGCUCUCGUCCAAAGAAAAAAUCUUCUUCUUCAAUUUCUUGACAGCAACAAAUUCACCACUCUUUUUAUCAAGAGCCUGAAACACGUCGCCGUAACUCCCCGACCCAAGCUCCCUGAUCUUUUCGUAUUGCUCCAUUUUUUUUCAGUGCGAUAUAUGGAACCAAAUUUUUUUCUGUACGGAUAUUUAUAAUGUGACAAUAACUUGCCGUACUGAAUUAGGGAAUAGUUUCCUAUUCCCAUUAUAUAUAUAUAUAUGUAAUAACAAUUACCCUAAUUGAAUAGGAAACUAGUUUCGCAAAUGAAAUUAAAACUGUAGUAGGAAACGCGUACCAGAACCGCAUUAGGAAAAGGUUAUAUUAGUAAUUUUACAUAUAUUAUUAAUUAUCUAAGUACAUUAAUUUUUUUUUAAUUUAACCAGAUAGGCUGGUUAAUUUAGAAACUACUGUAAUAUAAGUUACGUAAAUACAUCAAAUUAACCAAAUAGGCGAUUAUGAAUUUAACAGUUUCCCCCUUUUUUUAAUUUUCUUGUUGUGUUGCCGGUGUUCGCUAAAAGAAGAGACUGCCAAAACCAAUAAUGAGAAAUGUUGGUCAAAAAAUGUUAUCAUAAGAGUUCAUGCAUGAUUUCAUUUGAUCCAAUUAAUGAACAUAUUGAGAAGUAAAAUUGGGAAAAUCUUUUAUUGCAGUCUUAUUACAUACUUAUUCAAGAAAUCACAGAAAACACAAAACCUGCACACUUAUAAAUAGAAACACACAAUCCAAUGUUUUUUGUACGAAAUUAGGAUAUGUAAUAUCUCACAGUGCUUGGAAGGAUGUAAAUGAUCAGCUCAUAAGGAAUUGCAUCCUUUGAUUAGCAAUUUGGGUGGACUUAAGCCCAUACCAAGAUCAAAACCGCAAAUGUCAUUUAUGAUUUUUGUUCCAAAUGUCAUUUAUAUUAUUCAACAUUGUUCAUUUUAUAUUGUUGUUUUAUCAAUAUCCUCCUAUUUUUAUUUUCUGUGUCACUUGACAUAUACGAUGACAAUCUAUCUUUAUUAUUUUUUAAUACCAUUAAUGCUAAUGUUGAAAUAUAGGUAGGGAUGGCAAUGGGGAGGGGAGGGGAGGGGACCAAUCUCCCUGUACCCAUUGUCGAUAUUUUGCGUAUGUCCCCGUUCCCUUCCCGUCCCCAUCAGAAUUACACGUAAAAUAUACAUACACAUAAUUUAUCAGGGAAAAAAGAAUUUACUUCUUUUGAGUUUUAGCAACCUUCAAAAUCUUCCUUGAAAAUGUCAUUAUUUAUUAUUAUUUUUUUUUCUAAUAUCGUACAUGUACUCUUAGAUUUACACAAUUUUUAUCAAGGAUGAGUGUAACAACCAACCUAAAAUAAGAACAAUGCUAUUAAUGGAAACAAAUCAUUGCAUUAGUGAACUUGGACGGUUGGGUACAACAAAAACAACCAGAGACAUAAGUUUAUAAAUUCUCUUAGCUGCAAAAAAAAGCAACCUUAAACUUAUUUACAUCGUCGGACAAACCGUAUUAACCGGCUCAUCACUAUCCGUCCAUCCCGCUCCAAGAAAUUUAGCUUUUAAAAAAUAUAUCUGCUGUACCGUACAUCCGCCUUGGCCGUACAGCAGAAUGAAUAUUAAAAUUAAAACAAAUUUUUGGGCUAAUAGAAUCUAUCCAGUCUUUUUAAUGUCCUAAACAAAAAUUUAUGACUUUAAUUAGUUAAUUAGGCCUAAAAGUUUAAUAAUAUAAAUAUUUGAUAUUUGUUCUUUUUACCAAUUUUUAUAAUUUUAUAAUUCAAAUUUUAUUAUUUAUUUACUAGUAAUUUUAAAAAAUUAAAAUUAAAAUUAAAAUGGGGAAAUGGGUAGGGGAUGGGGAUUCCACCUCAUCCCCAUCCCCUCCCCGAAUAAGAAAUUGGGUAAAAAAAUUUUCUCGUGCCUUCCCCGAAUAAAAAAUUAGGUAUAAAAUUAUCCUCAUACCCUCCCCGAAUGGGGAAAAUCCCCCCCGACCCCAUGGAGAUUUUGCCAUCCCUAAAUAUAGGUGAUGAAAGAGAGGAUUUGGGGCGAAUUUUUAUUCGUUAAUAUCAAAUAUUUGCCAAUUGGAUUUUUUUCAGAAUCCGACUCUUCAAUUCCACUCCCCGGGAAAAUUGAGAGAUCUUGGAGAAUUGGACUAAGAAGUUUUCACUUGUUAGUUCAUAAAUUUGAAGAGAGUCUGUUCAGUCGAAUAUCAAUUAAGGAAGAAGAUGAUGUAUUGAACAAAUAGGCCAAGAUUCUUUUCUGAAAAAAUAUGAUAAUGGUGCUUUGUUUCAUACCGUCGGAUUCAUAUUUUGGCAAAAAAAUAAAUUGUUUCAAAGCUUUCGGCAAACUAAUGAAAAUAAAAUCACAGCGUACUUGGUAAUGAUGAUCCUUGAAUUUUUACCAAAUUUUGACAUUGAUGGACUUGAAAUUUUUACUUAUAUGUGGUUUUGUAACUAUAGGAAACUAAGAAUUUUUAUAUCUUAGUAACAAAAUUCGGAGUUGGUGUUAAUUUUUUGGUCCAAUAGCUUCUAUCAUUUUCCAAGUAUUCAUAGGGGAAAUACAAUGGAAUAGGAGGAAUGCAUUCUGAAAUUACAAAUUAUAAAUUGGGACUUUAUAAAUAACAAUGAUUAUAGUUAAAACAAUGUUAUACUAUUUAAAAUAGUGAUUACAGUAAUGAGAUAAGAAAGAAAAUAUGUUAUAAAAAUAGAAUGUAAAUCAAGGCCUCGUGUAGGGUGGGCAAAAAAGUUAGGGUCGGCCCAACUUAGGGUCAUGGGCUUUAGGCCCAGCUUGUUUCAUGAUGCCAUGGACAUGGGUAAAAAAAUUUAAAGCUAGUUGUGAAUGGGCUUAGUUAAUGGUUGUAUUUGAUUAUUUAUCGAUUAUGUAUUGGAUAAUCAUUACUAAUUUAAAUAUUUUAUUUUUAACUUUUUGCUUUAUUAAAAAUUUAUUUAAAAAAUUAAUGGAAGCACAAGUCCAGUGCAGGCUCAGAUUGUCCAAGUUUGGAUAGACUUUUAGAGGGUGUGGACCUAUUACUAAUAACAUGGACUUAGACAUGAGCUUGAAAAAACUCAGCAUAAACUCGUAAUUUGUCAUCCUUACCUGCAUAAUAUUAUAGCUUCAUUAAAACAAAUUUGCCUACUGCUCUCAAGUGCUUUAGGAUUUGAAUAGCGCCUAUUUUCCAAGAGACAAUGGUAAUGAAUAAUUCAGGUGCACCAAGAGGUUAUUGUACAAAAAACUUCCAGUGUGUCUAAACUUUAUGAAAAUUGGAUCUCCGACAAAGGAGGCAUUGAAGUUUUUCUCUUCUUAUUCUUCUAUCCUUAUUUGUCUUAUAUUGUUCCUAGCCACUUUUUUGAAAUGAUGAAGAAUGUCAAUUCAUAGAAUUGUAUGAGAGGCAUUUUUAUCCACAAAUUUGACUGCUAAAAUUUUGUAACUGAUGUAUUUAAUUUCUUAUUAUUAAGUACCGUAGCUAAUUAAAAGUAUAACUGUUGCUCGUUAAACCUUUUAUUUAACUCUUAAAUUAAAUUCAAAAUGUAACUGCGGCUUCAUUAACCACGUCUUAAAUUCGGGAUUUAAUCUCAUAUUAAAAUAUAAAUUUAAUUGGGUAUUAUAAAUUCUGAAUUACUUGGCAGUUAAAAGUGAUAUAUUCUGGAAUUGAUUUCGUAAUUAAUUUUAAAUUUAACUAGCUGUUAUUCACCCAAGCAUCAUUUUAAAUAUAAAAGUACACCUUAUUAUCUUUCACUUAUACAAAGUACAUCCACUCAAAAUUAUGCUUUAAAAUAGUAAAUUAUUAUGAUACUUUUCCAACCAUAUUUGUAUGUCAAAGCAUUUUAUCAUUUUACAUUCAAACCCCCAUAUAGAGAGCUACGAAAAUUAGCUUACUGACACGUUGUCCAGCUAAAGUAAAAUAAAAAAAUUAUAAGUACAAUAUAAGGUUGAUGGUGUGUAAUUUAUGUAAUAUUUAAUAAAAAACACAAUAAACUAGUUAGUGUUGGAUAAACGAAUAAACAAGUCAUAUUCGAAUCGAAUUGUAAACAAAUUGGCUCAAAAUUUUACUGAUUUGGAUUUGAUUCGGUUAUUAAACGAAUAUUCGAUUCGAUUCGUUUAAUUUAUUUAGUAGAAUUAAUAAACGAAUCAAAUCGAAUUUGGAUUCCUUUACAAUUCGUUUAUCCUAUAAGGAAUAAAUUGAAUAUGAAUUUAUUUACAAAAAUAUAAUAGAUAAACAAAAUAAAAUAUAAAAAGAGCAUAAAUUUAACAUCUAAACAAAAUAAAAUAUAAAAAGAGAAAAGAGCAUAAAUUUAACAUCCUACAAAAUACAAACUUAUUAUCAUUUAUAAUUAUUAUAUUAGCUUUCAAACUUUAAGGUUUUUUCAUACUAAGUAUAAAUAAAUAAUUUAAUUAAAUGAAUUUAAAUGAAUGAAUUAUAUUCGAUUCGUUUAUAACUCACUUACUAAAUGAAUCCUUAAAUCAAUGAAUCAAUAUCCUAAUUAGAUCCAUUUAAUUAGCAAAUCAAAUCAAAUUCACCUAUUUAUUAAACGAAACAAUUUUUUCAAAUCCAAACCCAUUUAAUUUGCAUCGAAUCGAAUCAAAUAAACGAAUCCUAGCCCAAAUUGCCACUUCUAAAACUAGUUGUAUAAUAUUCUUACUGGCACCAAAAUCAGAUUAUUUUUUACUUCGUCAGAGGAGACAGUCCCUUAAUUGGGCCGGAUAUGUUGAUGGUUGCACAUUUGCAUCUCUUCCCAUCAAUUUUGUAUUGUUGCCAUGGAUUGAAAUUUCUUGCUUCGUUUGGGCAUCCACGCAUGUAAUUACUACUUUUAAAAGAUCCUUAUAGCCAUUUUUUAUUUAGCAACGUAAGGAACCCUGAAUCUGCGACAUCAAGUUAAUAUGUUAUUAAUGUAUGUUAAAGUAAGUUUAACUUCAUGUGACUUCUACAGAAAAUCGUCACAUUUGUUCGGGUUAACAUUAUAAACUUCUAUUGCUUUCGGGUAACUUAUUGGCAAAUUGGCUUGCAAAGCGUUUUCAGCUGCACGAUGGGUAACGUUAAAAAGAAAGGCAAAGAAAAAGUGUUAAUUAAGCAUAGCUAUCGACUUCACGUUUGUUAAUAUCAAGUUUUAACAACGGAUGUGUUCGAUCAACUUACAGAACAACUAUUGAUAAAUUGAAAUUCACAAAAAUUUGAUACAAGUCAAGGAUUAACGAUGCCAAAUAGGUUAUUAUUUGAUUCAUUUCAUUGAAAACUUGACGUCAUGAAGAGCAAAGCACCCCUAUAAUCUUUGGAGAGCGGACAUAACUUUUCCUAUAUCGUGUCAAAAUCCUCAUCUGUCUAUUUAAUUAUGUUCUGAGAAUUCUGUUUAUUUACUUAGAAAACAGAGAGAAUUUAUUGAUUGAGAGAAAUUAGAAACCAAAAAAUAUUCAUUCCACAUACUGUAAUUUGAGAUUACAAUGCUCUGCAUAUGGUUGUGUGUACAAUCUUCUAAAAGCAACAAACUUGUGUGCUCACAUGCACCUAUACAUAACGAACUUUUAGAGGGAAACUAUAGCUUUCAACAAUAUGCAUAAUGACCUUCCAACGUGGAUAUUCAGCAACGAUACUAUGCAGCUCAGCUCUGAUGAAUCGGCACUUAAUUCUUAACACACCCCCGUAAUCUCAAGGUCUUGAACAGACAUUGAGCUUAGUUCUCAUUAAGCAAAGUGGUCAAAACUAAGAGGCCUUGUAAGCACAUCAACUAACUGAUCAAGACUGGACACAUGUUCAAUGACCAAUUCCUUAUUUGCAACAUGUUCCCUAACAAAAUGAAGAUCCAAUUCUAUAUGCUUAGUUAUAGAAUGAUAUUUAGGAUUGUUUGCUAAAGUUUCUGCAGUUUAUUAUCAGAGUGAAGAACAUGAGACUUGUUGAGUGAUACUUGAGUUCCUUUAAAAGACAAGUGAUCCACAAAAUUUUAAAUGUGGCUAAUGCUAAAGCUCUAUAUUCAGAUUCAACAAUUGAUUUAGAGAUAAUAUUUUGUUUCUUAGAUGACCAGGACACAAGAUUAGUUCCAAGAUAAACACAAUAUCCUCCAAUAGAUCUUCUGUCAUUUGGAUCAGACCCCCAAUCUACAUUAGAAUAGGCUAUCAAGGUUAGGGAACUUGAGUUGAAGAACUGAAGUCCAAAAUGUGCUAUACUUUGCAAAUAUCUCAGCACUCUUUUACAGGCCUGCCAGUGUAAAGUAGUUGGAGCAGUAAAAAACUGGCUUAACUUAUUGAUUGUAAAUGCAAUAUCUAAACUGGUCGGUGUUAAGGAUUGUAGAGAACCAACAAUGCUUCUAUAAAGUGAAUGAUUUUCAAACAUACAAUUUAUCAACAACACUUGUAGGCGUGUUACAACCUUUACUGUCAAACAUGUAAGCUUUCCUUAAGAUAUCUCCAACAAACUUAGUUUGAGAUAGAUGUAGGCCAUCAAUAGACGGAGUUACUUCUAAUCUAAGAAAAUAUUUGAAAUCCCCCAUGUCUUUGAGAGCAAAUUCUAAUCCAAGCUGAUUAAUAACCUCUGUUAUAUGAGCAUUGCUUAAACCUAUUAUCAGAAUAUCAUCCACAUAGACAAGAAUAAUUAUAAUAUCACCUCUAAUAUGCUUGAAAAAUAAGGAAGUAUCUAACUUGGAAGACCUGAAUCCUCAUUGAAUUAGAUCCUUUUAAUCUAUCAUACCAAGCCAUGGGGGCUUGUUUAAGGCCAUAAGGGUUUUAUUCAACUUGCAAACAUGAUUGGGAAAUUGAGGAUUAAUAAAGCCUUCUACCUAAAGCAUGAACACAUCUUCAGUAAGUAGGCCAUUUAAAAAAGCAUUAUCGACAUCUAAUUACCGUAUAGGCCAAUGAUUCAUGAUUGCCAAGUUGAGAACAAAUGGAACAGUGCAGGGUUACAACAGGACUAAAUGUCUCAAAGAAAUCUACUUUAUAAUUUUGAUGAAACCCUUUUACAACUAGUCGAGCUUUAUACUUUGAAAUGCCAUCAUCUGGGUUGUAUUUAACUUGAAAAACCCACUUAUUUCCAACAAGUUUGGUGGCUAUCUCAGCUGGAACCAAUGUCCAAGUAUCAUUUCUCUGCAAAGCAUUAUAGUUAUCUUGCAUAGCCACAUGCCACUUUUAAAUAUAUACAAGCUUGAGAUGUGCUAGAGUUUGUUAAAAAAAUUUAGAAUCGGGCCAAGCUAGCACUCUUGGCCUAUGUUUGGGCUCUUAGCCCGAAUUCUUGGGCACUUGGGCUGAAAAUUUGGGUGGUCCACAACAUUAAGCUCAAAAUAUACUAAUACAAAACAUGGACUCCAGUAACAGGCUUGAGGAGAUGCUCAUCAAGAUAUUGCAAUGAUAGGUCUAUCACUAUAUCAUCAAGAAGCAUAAAAAAAAGAAAUUUCUAGGAUAGUCAUAUGAAUCACCAUUCUUAACUAUCUAAAUGACAAAUUAGACGGGUUUUGACCUUUUUAAAGUGUUUUAUGAAACUUAGAUUUCCCGUAUAUUAAACAAUACUAAGAUUUACAAACAAACUUGAAUCGCCAAAGAGAUUUUACAAAGAAUUUCAAUCACCAAAUCUUCAUUAUAAUGAAAAUCUUUCUUGUUACUUGUCACCAUCAUCUCCUUCUAAUCAAAUUUAAUUAAAAUAAUGGAAUACUAAAAUGAAUCAAGUUGGUUUCUCACGUUCAUUAGCAAAGAUUGAAAUUACUGAGAAUGCAUAAAUUGUGGACUGGGAAAUUCGGAGAACGUUGGCCAUUAGAAAGUAUUAAGAGCUUUUAGUUUAGUGCAAUAGAUAAUUAGCUUUUUUGGGUAAACACUCUUUUAGUAUUUUAGGUUUCGGAAAAUUAUGCAAUUAGCUUAUGAAUUUUUAAAAAUUAUUCAAACCAUCCUUAUUUAUGUCGAAAUUCACUCAACGCACUUUUUUCACUUGAAGUAGGUAAUUAGACUUGUCUGUUCUUGUUGGAAUUUAAAAGUAAAUCAGACACAACUACUUAGGUAGAAUUGCAUUAAGGAUGAAAUUUAUUAUCAAAAUUAAAAUUUAAAAAUCUGUUUGCCACUGCCUUUUUAAAAUUCUUAAAAUAUACGUACCUUGUACACUUGGCUCACAUAAAGAUAUAAAUAAAUUACAAGAUUGAUUAAUUGAAAUCGUGAAAAAGUAAAGGUCCAAAGGGAGAUAUAUUCCACGCGUAUAGCGUGCCGCAUCGUUAUUUCUAACUUAUUGAAAUCUUAAAUUCAAACCGAAUGAUUGAAAUCAUCAUCCAAAAUCAAACAAAUCUCAUGCAUGCACCAACCGAAGCCACUUUCCACGUGUAAAAUGGGCUAGUCAACUCAUACAAUUAUCAACAAUAUAUCCUCUUUCUUUGCAUCAUCUAUUUCUUUGGCAUUUAAUUUCUAUCAUUUUCUUACCGUCCAAACAGGCGCAUGCAUCCAGAUAGGUAUAUAGAUAUCUUCUCCCCACCUAACUUUAUUAGCACAAUCACGUUACAUAAGAAAAUAGUAAGCUUUGUUGGGUAAUUGGUCUUUAUUUAAUUUGAAAAGAGCUAUUUGCAUUUCUUUAUUAAUAAGAGUUUCCAAGCAUUGAAGAUUUGCCUGUAUUUGAGUGAGCAAAAGAUAUACAGCUUAGUCAUCAGAUUACAAAACAGGUUAACAAAUUUAUUGACAAGCAAACAACUAACUAAGAUCUUGUCAUUCGACAAAUUUUUAGUUUUAAGAUCAUUUAGGAAUAUUAGUACAAUAAUUGCAAUCUAAGCCAGAAAGAAAAAGACAUAUUUUGUUGACAUAAUGGCCAAAUAUAAUUUACUCAUAUCUCAAAGCUUUGAAUAAAAAGUUAACCAGAAAAUCCUGAAAUGGUUUGCCUGUGGAUAGAGAUAUUAGAUAUUCUAUAUUUAAUUUUCCUUGACGUAGGGUCAUAUGCACAAUGAAUUAUAGACAAAGAUUGUCGGCAGUCUCCCAUAUAAUAUUAUUUACACAGAUUAUGUACUUAGACGUUAUCAGUUCCUUCAAUUUCAGGUAAUUUCGUAAUCAUAUUCAUAUUAUAUUAUAGGACUCGCCUAUCGUGCAACAGUGGCACCAUGCCACUGCUUUUGUCUUUUUUGUGUAAAAUUUCAUGAAGCCCUUUCAUUUAUUCUUAUUUGAACUUUGCUUCACAAAUAUUAAGUUCAUUUCUCCCAAACCCGUGAAUCCUUCAACGGCCGAUCAACGGCAAAUCGGCUCCUCCGGUGGCUGUGGUUGGUCAGAAAAGACAGAGGGAAUUGUGGAGAACAAAACUCAAGUGGUGGCGUCACCGGAAACUGGAGAAACAGUGGCGAAUUGAAGCGGGGAUUCUGUGACUUUUCACGGCUUCGAUCGGCAGCUUUCCGAAUGCUUUACAGCGACAAGGAUGGCAUGGAGAUGACCGGCGUCAUACGAGCUUCCGAUCGGUACCAACCUUGGCCGAUGGAAUUGCCGGAAACGGAAAUAAAAUCCGGGUUGGGUUCGCGGGUCGGGUUGACCCGGUUAUUUUUGUGACAAGGAUGGUGUGGAGAUGACCGGCGUCGCUCGAUCUUCCGAUCGGUACCAACCUUCGCCGGUGGCGUGGACGGAAAUGGAAACGAAAUUCGGGUCGGGUUCGCCGGUAUUUGUGAUAAAGAGAGGGGUAUUGUGAUAAAAGUGUAAUAUAGAAGAAAAAUGUAUAAAUAACAAAUAGUAUAAGGUGCUAAUUAUAAUGUUUAUAUGGAUGCAAUAGAAAUUAAUUUAAUAUUUAUGAAGUAAAGCUUAAAUAAAAAUGAAUGAAAGGGGUUCAAUGAAAUUUUACAACACUGCUGGCACAAAAGACAAAAUCAGUGGUACAGAUACCACGGUGGUACCGUAGUAGCUGGAUCCUAUAUUAUAUACAGUUCAUGAACACGCGUUAUUCAAUCGUCUCAUUUUAAAUAUAAUUAAACUGCAAAUAAUGAUACCACAGACAUUUUUGGUUUUAGUUACAUACCAGGCUGAAUAAUAAUAAUAAUAUUAAUAAGAGCAGGAGGGGAAAGGAAAAAUUGAAAACGAUUUUUAAGCUCAGUACAAAAUUCAAGGACAGGACCGAGGAAAAAAAAAAGAAUCUUGAUGUACGUAGGACAUGCAUUUUGUGGGGGAAAUAACUAAUUGAGUUACAAUACUCAUAUAAUAUGUUAAGUCUUUAAACUUUCGGUGAUAUAUAGAAACAAAAUCCGUUGUGUUUAAUUGCAAAAUCAAUCCGAUUAUGGUCGAAGUUUGUUGUUUGAUGCCUCAAAUGUAUUUGAUUCUUUUAACUAUUUCCAAGAAAUUUUUGAAGUUUUAGAACAUAUAAUUUUUAUGUUUUUUUCUUUUCGCUUUUAUUUCAAUUAGGAGUAUUCAUUUUGGAAAUGUGAAGGUAAUUCAGAUUUGUUCAUACAAGUGAAUUCAGAAUAUUUACGAGUCUCCACGUACAAGAGCAUGAAAAAUGCUAUAGUUUUAUUAGCUACAGAUAAGUCGUGAGAUAUGCUUCAAUCCUCAUCACUCAUUGUCACAUGUAAGUUGAACAUUUUCUUUUAGUUCUUAUCACAUAAAAAAAAUAGUCUAAACUCACUUAUAUAUGAGUCUCACUUUUUAUGGGUUUAAAGUUUAAGAUGUGAAAAAUGAUCAAUUACAUUUAAUUAAUUAUCCCAAAGUUCUUUAAAAGUAGUUUCGGGAUAAUUUUUUCUAUUUUUGGCGGAUAUUAGAUAUUGUCCUCAUCACUAAACUAAACACCAUUUUCCAUUUAAAUAGGAAAAAAAAAAGGAAAGAUAGAAUAAGGCCAGAAUAAAAUUCGGUGAGUUGUUGAAGGAUUUAUGGAAAGUGACAGAAAUGGUGUUUUUACUUUUUGCUUUUUUUGAAGAAAAGUUGAAAGCUUAAGCAGCACAAAUUAAUGUUGCUUUUACGAUUUUGUAUUUGUUGCGUCACAUUUUCUUUCCUCAAAUAUUAUAUUAAGUGGACUCAAGUAUAGCGGUCCGCCUACUGUGCAUAUCAGAAUAAAUUAAACAUAUCAGAAUAAAAUUCGGUGGGUUGUUGAAGGAUUUAUGGAAAGUGACAGAAAUGGUGUUUUUACUUUUUACUUUUUACUUUUUUUGAAGAAAAGUUGAAAGCUUAAGCACCACAAAUUAAUGUUGCUUUUACGAUUUUGUACUUGUUGCAUUACAUUUUCUCUUCAAAUACUAUAUUAAACAUAUUUCUUUAUAAGUAAUGAUACAACCAUAAAUUUUUAUAUAAAUUGAUAUGACAUUAAUUUAUUAAUUGAAUAAAAAUAUAAAUAAAUUAUGUAGACUAAUAAAUAUUUAAUUCAACUAAUUUUAUCAUACCAUAUCAAUUUGUACAAAAAUUUAUAGUUAUAUCAUUACUCUUUUUUUAUUGAAAAAUUCUUUAAAUUGUGCGUUCAAAUCAGUUCAAUUAGUAAUUCUCUUAACUUAAAAUAAAAGAUCCGGGAAUCAAAAGCCAGUUUGGUAUUUAUUUAUUUAGAUUAUAAUUUUUUAAAUACUUUAUCAGAGGCGAGAUUUGAAAUAAACAUCAAUUUUUUUAAAUCACAAAUAAAUAUCAAUUUUCAGUUGUGAAAACAACUACGAAAAAAAUUAACAGCAUACCAUUCUCAAAAAAAAAAGAAAAGCAAAAACAUUUCAUUUUCAAAACGUCAUCCGUCACGUCACGUAAUUAAUUAUUUGACUCUACUUGUGUAUUGUCGGUGUGGACAAAGCUACGUUACAGACUCUUUAUGUAACAGUUCAGUGCAAACUGGCCUUGUAUCAGCUAAUUUCUAGCAACUUUUCCUCUCUCCUGCAACGAGCGGAUGCUCCCCAUUUGCUACGUUACAAGGUCCGUGUGUCUCAAUCAAUUAUUUAUGUAUAAACUGACAAAAAUGAUAAUUCAAUAUAAAGAAAAGGCAAACUCUAUCUUACAUGCAUGUAAGAUACAUGGCUCUCAUAUGAAUAGUAUAUAUAUGGGAUCCAUAUACUAUGUAUUUUACAUGCAUGUAAGAUAGGGGAUCCCUAAAGAAAAAGGAUAAAAGUCUACAAGCUUGAAAUGAAAGGUUUCGACUUUCGAGUAUGUGGAAUCCACACGCCUCGUACAGUCCACAUUCGCAUGGCGAUGGCAUGGACUAAAUCCAACGUUAUCGUUUAUCAAAGUUGAAUUCUUCAGCCCUAAUUAAGUCGAUCAGAAUUUAAGCUGAUUUAUUUAUUAUUAUUAUUUUUUUUACAAACAAAUGAAAUUUUGGAUAUUACAAAGGGGGAAUUAUUCUUCUUUAAUUUCUCACCCUUAGUCACCAGAAAAUUACAAUAGGGGCCAAUUGCGGUUUUUUUUUUUUUUGCACAAAGUUUGGCCAAAAAACACUUCUUGCUUUGUAGCUCAAUAAAGUUUCAAUGGCAUCAAAAUGGACAUGCAUAAACGACUCUGCCAAUAUUGCCAUGCCAUGAAUCAUUUUAAUUAAAAGAGGGACAUGUCCAUAUAUAAAUGACAUACAUUGCAGCAUCUAAUUGCACAGACAGUAGUUUCUGAAUCAAAAUGCUAGUAAUAAUAAACAAACAAACAAACAAAUAAAUAAAAUUUAACUGUAAAAUCUUAAACUUUUCUUGCCUAAUAAAACAAAUUUUUCAUCAGUUACGAAACCAGCUCAGCAGUAUAUAAACAAAAUUUUAAAAUUGAAAUUGAAUAUUCAUCCUAAUUUUCCAUCCACAAAACUAUAUACUCACAAUUCAGCGAAUUAUUACUUGAAAGAUAUAAGGAAAGGAAGAAGAUAACUAUUGUAUAUUUUUAAACUAACAAAUCUAACUCUUUCGUAGAAAAUUCCUGUUCAUUCUCUUUGGUUAAACAUAUAUGAUUUAAGGAUAAGUGCACGAGUUACGAAUAAUUUAUUUAUAAAAUCAUAAUUAUAAAAAUAUAAAAAGAUAGGGUGUUGUUACAUAAAAAGCGGAGUGGAAAUAUCCUCACAAUUUUCUUUUUGGGAUAAAUGUUCUUUUGAUCCUUAAGAUUUGAGUCAAUUAUCUAGCUAGACUUUGUAUUUUUAAAAAAUUAUUUUAAAAAUAUAUGUCUUAGUCAAAAUUAUUUACUUAAUUAUUCUCCUUUUUUUCCUUAACAUGUAGAUUUAUUUGAAUUUUAAGUUCCAUGUAAGAUAAAAAAAAUAUUUUACCCACUUUGAAAGUUAGAUCCAAUUGCGAUAGAAGUAGGAUGAAUUAUAUAAGUUCAUCCUUUUAAUAUUGGUGUUGUUAUUACCUUUUCUUUUGUUUAAUAAGAAAAAAGGAAAAAAAGUUCUAAUAGGGACAAGAAAUCUCAUCCACUAAACAAGAACCUUUGCCCUAUGAGUGGUUUUGUUGCAGAAUUGAUAGUAUAUUUUGGAAUAAUUACCAGCCAAUUUUUUUUUUAAUGCCAAAAAUAGUAAUUACUUUUAUAAUGGCAACUGGAAUGAUAUUAACUCCAUUUAUUCAUUAUCUAUGUUACGCCAAAUGUUCUAUGGGUACAAGCUAUUUAAUGCCCCAAACACUUUUUUUAUUUAUUUAUUCUGGACCACGAGAGUUAUUUGUUUUUAUCUCGAUUCUUCUACCCCUAAUAGGUAUUGGUAUUUAUCCCGAUUUUGUUCUCUCUCUAUCAGUGGACAAGGCCGAAGCUAUUAUAUCUAAUGUGUUUUUGUAGAUAGUUUUCAUGACUAAAAAAAAUCAAAAAGAAAUCCCAUGAUUUUAAAAAGAGUUCGUUAUCCAAUGAACAAAGAAAUCUUUUUUCUUCUAUUACUCUUAAGUUAAAUGAAAAGAAGAAGUAAAAUAUUUUUAAUUUAAUUUAAUAACCGAUUCAUGGGGUGGUUGGAGUAUUUAAGGGGGGACGACCGAGAUACACUUGACAUACUUCUACAAUACUAAAAAGCAAAUAAUAAAUGAUCGUUAACACCUCAAAACUAUGUGGAGAAAAAUAUGCUUUCACCAAACUUUAGGGAGAAAAUCGAUAAUGUAAUUAUCUCAUCAUAUAAGCUUUUGUUUUCAAACUGUGGACUUUUACAAUAUAAUGUGAAACUUCUUAGUCGUUCCCAAGUCUACUCCUGUUUAGCUUGGUUGGCUAUAAAUAAAGAGGCGCAUAUAUAGAAGGCUUAGAAAUAACUCUCAUUCUCAUCAUUGCAAAAUGGCUUCUCUUCGUUUUCUCCUUGCAGCUGCUCUUGUAGUUGCAUUUGUGCUUGAGGGAUCAUCACCAGCUCAAGCUCAACUUUCUCCCUCUUUUUAUAAUUCCACAUGCCCUAAUGUAGCCAACAUAAUUCGGGAGGUGCUUCAGAAUGCUUUCUUGUCCGAUAUUCGCAUCGGUGCCAGCCUCAUCAGGCUUCAUUUCCAUGACUGUUUUGUUAAUGUAAUCAAUCUCUACUCUUUGAUUUUUCUUCUUUUUCAAUUAAUAUUUUAAAAUAUGAAUUAAGGUCCUCUUUUAAUCUGAGUUUUGCAUAGUAUUUUAAAAAAUCUUGUGUAACAUGUCCAUUAUUAGUAAUAUAUGAUUGAAAAAAACUACGUACACUUAUAUCCUUAACUUCUAACAGUCACAAUUAAGCUCAGGAAAAGCUUACAUCAUGGGGGAAACCUGGUCUUACAAACUUAUAUAAGACAAUUUGGAUAUAUGUAUGUUUAUCCAAAAAGAAAAUGAACAAAUAUUCAUUAUUUUCUUAAUAGUAAGAUAAGAAGAAUCUACCUAAUUAUUAAAUUAACGAUACAAGAGCAGUUGAUCAUAACAAGCUUUUAAUGUUAUUUCAGGGCUGUGAUGCAUCGAUUUUGCUGGACAAUACUACUACCAUAGUAAGCGAGAAAUUUGCUGCGCCAAAUAAUAAUUCGGCGAGGGGUUUUGAAGUUGUUGAUGACAUGAAAGCUGCCGUUGAAAGGGCCUGUCCAGGCGUUGUUUCCUGUGCUGAUAUUCUUACUAUUGCAGCUGAACAAUCUGUUGCUCUGGUAUAUAUGAAUUUCUAUUAACAACUCAUCUUGCUCUACUACAUAUUUUUAGCUUAAAAGUGAUUAAAUUACUAUGGUAUCAGAGAGUAAGUCUGACUUUACAUUCGUGUUGGAAUUUUCAGUCCCUGAGUACUUAACUAAAUGAAUCCACAUGCUUAGUUUUAGGCGGCAACAGUCCACCGACAUUACCAUGUUGACUUCGUGAUAGUGCCUGGACAAACUUUACCGUAUGAAAAGGGAAGGCUUCUCCUUCCCCCCACCCCCCCAAAAAAAAAGUGAUGAGAUUCAUGGAGGACACAUCAGUUUUACGUGAAAAUAUCUUCUUUAUGUGAUACAGUCUGGUUGAACCGUUCACUCAAAAUUGUAAUGUCGGGAAACUGCUAAUUUUGGGUGCAAAAAGACCCAUAUAAAUACUAGCCAAAUAAAGUCGGAAAGAGUAAUUGCAUGUCUAUUUCUGAUUUUAGUUAAAUUUGCUUAUUAUGCAUCUCUCAAGUGAUUCUUUUGACUAAUGAUCGUGGUUUUGGUAUCAGUCAGGGGGUCCUUCAUGGACAAAUCUAUUGGGAAGGAGAGACAGCAGAACAGCCAACAGGACUCUUGCAAAUGAAAAUCUUCCAGGACCGAACAAUAGUCUUGAGAGGCUCAAAGAUAGAUUCAGAAAUGUUGGCCUCAACGAUAAUUUUGAUCUUGUUGCACUCUCCGGUAAUAUUUGCUUUUACGCCCUUUGACUUGAGUACAAACAGACCUUGGAGUCUUUUGGGAUAAAGCAGUAUUGGAGCCAGAAUUAGAAACCUGGAUGUGGAAAAUUUUUUAAUGCCAAUACUGAGUCUUGAAAUCUUAGAGAUAGUUUAAAUGUUGAAUAUCUUAUUUAAAAAGAAAAAAUAAAUUUUGAUAAGGAUGAGAAAUCUCAUCCACUAAAUAUCAAUUUUUUUCUCAUUGUUACUCUUACUAAGACGACCACCGACACAAAGCACAUUCAUACUCUACUGCACCUAGAAGGCUUGACUGAAUAUCCUAAUGAUGGAAGAAACUGUGUUUUAAAGUUUGACAUUGGUGACUAGGAAUAUGUUAAAACGUUUGACAAAUUUACUCCCCUUAAUCACAUCAUGAAAUUUGAAUUGCUUCCCAAAAAGAAAAGUGAGAACCACCAUAAUGAAACUCCAUUAUUAUCCUUAAUUUGUAUGAAUUUGAGUAAAAAUAACAAAGAUUGGCUAUGCAUUUUUUUCAGGAGCUCACACAUUUGGAAGGGCUCAGUGCCGAACUUUUAGCGAUAGGUUAUUCAAUUUCAACAGCACUGGCAAUCCAGACCCAACACUUAACACAACCCUCUUACAACAACUAAGGCAACUAUGCCCACAAGGUGGAAACGGCAGCGUUCUAACUAAUCUUGAUGUCACAACACCUGAUGUGUUUGACAACAAAUACUUCUUCAAUCUUCAAAUACACAAGGGCCUUCUGCAGAGUGAUCAAGAGUUGUUUUCGACUCCCGGGGCCGAUACCGCUGCCAUUGUCAAUAACUUUGGCAGGAACCAGACUGCUUUCUUUGAAAACUUUGUGAC
rnacentral:lncRNA from 1 species